rnacentral:rRNA from 1 species
GAUGAACGCUGGCGGCGUGCCUAAUACAUGCAAGUCGAGCGAAUGGAUUAAGAGCUUGCUCUUAUGAAGUUAGCGGCGGACGGGUGAGUAACACGUGGGUAACCUGCCCAUAAGACUGGGAUAACUCCGGGAAACCGGGGCUAAUACCGGAUAACAUUUUGAACCGCAUGGUUCGAAAUUGAAAGGCGGCUUCGGCUGUCACUUAUGGAUGGACCCGCGUCGCAUUAGCUAGUUGGUGAGGUAACGGCUCACCAAGGCCACGAUGCGUAGCCGAACUGAGAGGGGGAUCGGCCACACGGGGACUGGGACACGGCCCAGACUCCUACGGGAGGCAGCAGUAGGGAAUCUUCCGCAAUGGACGAAAGUCUGACGGAGCAACGCCGCGUGAGUGAUGAAGGCUUUCGGGUCGUAAAACUCUGUUGUUAGGGAAGAACAAGUGCUAGUUGAAUAAGCUGACACCUUGACGGUACCUAACCAGAAAGCCACGGCUAACUACGUGCCAGCCGCCGCGGUAA